ACUUUGGAGAUAGACGUACAUUUCAGUGGAGGAGCAGGGACCUCAGACAAGGUAUUGAACCUCAUUCAGUCAGGGCUGCGGCCGGCGGCUGCACUCGGCCUGUGCCGCUGAGCUAGGAUGUAGGACGGUGUGGAAGCAGAUGUGACACUGUAAGCAAUAUUAACACAUUAGUGCUUUUGGAUAUCAUUUAGGCAGAGUCAGUAUUGGCCACUACUAAAAUGUCACGUUUUAAACCCUGUUUUCUAGGUUUCAGAUUGGUUCUUUGAGGGAGGGGGGAGGGCUGGCUGAUCGUGCACCACUCUUUGUGCAACUUCGAGACUUCUAGUGAGACAGAUCCUAGCUGAAGAAAGCAGUUGCAUUUGCCAUCAAGCUGCCCUUUGAAACGCUGUGAGAAGCUGGAAGGCACAGAAUGUGGGUUGUCUCUCUGACACACUUCCAGGAGAAACUUCAUUGUUUUGAUACCACACACCUCCUGUCUGCCUGUGACAUUGCUGUGGAAGCCUUGCUGACAAGUCUGACUAAUGCACUGAGCGAAGAGGUUUCUAACUGGCUUGAGAGAGUUGGCCAUGGUAUGGAAAGAGUCAACAGCUCUACAGAUGGAGGAAGAGGCAGUUCCUGUCUGCAACUGCUUCUUGUCCAAAUUGCCUUGAAAGGUAUAGAAGGAAGAUGAAGACAUAAACCGUAGUACAGCACUGAUCUAUCUGAUAUUCUGCAAAGCCCCCAAUUGCCCCCCUGAGAGAACUCCUCCCUGUCUCACUCCGUAGAUGGUGUCAUCCACCAUAACAGAAUUAAGAUGUUCUCCUUCCAAACUGAUACCCUCUGUGACAAGUGGGAGGUGGUUGCAAGGAUGGUAUCUGUGUUACAUUCGGACCUCUCUUUGCAAGAUCGCUCCAGAGCUUUCCCUGCUAAAUUCAGGAGCCUCUUCCAAGACUUGGAGGAGGUGGGUGUGAGGUUGAAAAUCCUCGACGUGACAAGAGCCUUUGUUCUUACGCCUCAUAUAAACUGGCACAUCUUCAACUGGGGAGGGGAUUUUUGUAUUUUCCUUUCAAAAUUUUCUUAUUUCUUAAAAGAGAGAGUAAAUUCUUCUGUAGCCCAUUUCCAUUUCUGGAAGGCUAGAGCUAGGCAAAAGGGUGGAAGUUCAGAGAUUUACCAAUAUACUGAGGGGCUUCCAAGCUGAAUGAAUUCUUUUUCUCAUCUUGCAUCUUAAUUGGCAAGAAAAGAAAUCAUGCUUUGUUAAAACAGACAUUCGGAAAGAUGCGGAGUUGUACAAAAGCACGGCCAUCCAUCCCUUCCUUCUCUGCUGUAGCCAUCCCUAUCCAAAACAUCUGUAAGAACAUACAGAGAAAUGGUCCUUCAGUAUCAUCUGUGUAUCUGCUCUCUCUGCCCUACAGGAAUAGAAGAUAAUUAUACUU
rnacentral:lncRNA from 7 species